rnacentral:rRNA from 1 species
GACGAACGCUGGCGGCGUGCUUAACACAUGCAAGUCGAACGGAAAGGCCCUGCUUUUGUGGGGUGCUCGAGUGGCGAACGGGUGAGUAACACGUGAGUAACCUGCCCUUGACUUUGGGAUAACUUCAGGAAACUGGGGCUAAUACCGGAUAGGAGCUCCUGCUGCAUGGUGGGGGUUGGAAAGUUUCGGCGGUUGGGGAUGGACUCGCGGCUUAUCAGCUUGUUGGUGGGGUAGUGGCUUACCAAGGCUUUGACGGGUAGCCGGCCUGAGAGGGUGACCGGCCACAUUGGGACUGAGAUACGGCCCAGACUCCUACGGGAGGCAGCAGUGGGGAAUAUUGCACAAUGGGCGGAAGCCUGAUGCAGCAACGCCGCGUGCGGGAUGACUGCCUUCGAGUUGUAAACCGCUUUCGCCUGUGACGAAGCGUGAGUGACGGUAAUGGGUAAAGAAGCACCGGCUAACUACGUG